rnacentral:rRNA from 1 species
UACGAAGGGGGCUAGCGUUGUUCGGAAUUACUGGGCGUAAAGCGCACGUAGGCGGAUCGAUCAGUCAGGGGUGAAAUCCCAGGGCUCAACCCUGGAACUGCCUUUGAUACUGUCGAUCUGGAGUAUGGAAGAGGUGAGUGGAAUUCCGAGUGUAGAGGUGAAAUUCGUAGAUAUUCGGAAGAACACCAGUGGCGAAGGCGACUCGCUGGACAGACAUUGACGCUGAGGUGCGAAAGCGUGGGGAGCAAACAGG